UACAGAGGCCUCAAGCGUUAGGCGGAAUCACUGGGCUUAAAGCGUGUGUAGGCGGGUCGUUAAGUACCUUGUGAAAUCCCACGGCUUAACUGUGGAACGGCUUGGUAUACUGGCGAUCUUGAGCCACUUAGGGGCUACCGGAACAGAUGGUGGAGCGGUGAAAUGCGUAGAUAUCAGGAGGAACACCGAUUGCGAAGGCAGCUCGCUGGGACGUAACUGACGCUGAGACGCGAAAGCGUGGGGAGCAAACAGG
rnacentral:rRNA from 1 species